rnacentral:lncRNA from 1 species
UUUUUUUUUUUUUUUUAAAGAUUUUAUUUAUUUAUUCACGAGAGAAACAGAGAGGCAGAGACAUAGGCAGAGGGAAAAGCAGGUUCCCGGUGGGGAUCCUGAUGUGGGACUUGAUCCCAGAACCCCAGGAUCACAACCUGAGCUGAAGGCAGAUGCUUAACUACUGAGCCACCCAGGUGCCCUGGAACUUAACCAUCUUGAUUAUCCCCAGAACAACUAGUUUUAUGCCUUGCCUAAUGGUCUCCAAACUCCUUCCUGACAUUUCUGAGAAUGUCUUUUGUGACAAGGGAUAAUUCUUUUUUUCUUGUUGAAUUCCUCUAAUUGUUCAUGAAUUUUAUGUUAUGCCACUUUGUAACUCUUACUCACAGAUCUAAAUUGUGCAUUCUAGAGUUACACGUAAAUCUAACCUAACUUCCAUAGUACAAUCCUUCAUUCUAUUUUCCAGACUAAAUACCCUCCAUAAGAAAUGGAUUCUAGACCCUUUAUCAUCUUUGUCAUCCAUUUAAAUAUAUCUUGCAUUUCAUUAAUAUCCUUCAUAUCUUCCCAUCAGAAACAGGAACAAAGGAUAUAUAACAGACAAAUAAUAUGAGUACAAUAACAAAUAUAUGAAUUGAAAGAGUACUACAGAAGCAUAACAGAAGGAACAAUUAAGAUGUCACCAAUUAAUAAUCAGUGAAAUACUCAAUAAGACUAAAUCAAGGUCAGGAAAUCCUAAAACUCCCCUUGAAAUGCCUAUGUCUGGGUCAGUUUUCCAAGGUACAUGGCAAAUAGUAAACAAAACUAGUAAGAGUUAGCAUUAAUUGAAUAUACAGUAUGUACCAGGCAUUGUGCAUGUACCUUUAAUAUAUCAGGUUAUUUAAUCCUCACAAUAAUACUUUAAGGUAGACAUUAUCAUUACAUCAAUUUACAGGUGAAGAAAUUGAAGCUUCAAAAAAUUAUUUGCUGAAGGUAACAGCAAGUAAAUGGCAGAGUCAGGACUCUACCUAGGUAUAUUUGGUUCCAAAGCCCAAGCUUUUAAAUCUCACAUUAUAUGGCUUACUCUUAAAAAUAAAUAGAUAGGAAGACAGGUAGAAAGAAAAGCAGACAGAUGGAAAAUUAAAAAGUAGAUAUGGUCACAUAAAUUUGGAAAGUUCAAGUUAUAUAAAGAAAUGGAAUAGCUUGGUUUCUCAAAACCUUUAAAAUGCUAAUUUAUAUUGUUAAUCCUCAACAGAGAGAUGUAGUGUGACAAAUUUUGUAGUGGGUUUCCCACACUUAUUUAACCAGAAACACUUUUUUUUUUCUAAGAUGCAUCUUGCAGGAGUAACGUUAUACAAUAUGCAUUUUGGAAAAUGCUGUGUUAGAUAAACAACAACUCUUUAAAAUUUUUUCCAGAACAUUUUUUAAUUAGUUAUGAAUCUAUUCUCUACUGCUUGUGCAAGUGAACUUUCAUGACUAAAUUCUUACCUUGGGCAACCAACUACCUAAAUAUAGUCUGGGGAGUAGAGAGGAAUGUGGCUUGACAGUAGCUCAUUCUUUAUUAAUUCAAAAGAAAGUAAUGAACAGCUACCAUGAACUAGGCUCUGUGCUAAGUACAAGGCAUACAAAAAUGGCAGUAACUCAAUUCCUCCUGUCAAGGUGCUGACUGUUUUGUGGGGGAUGUAGAUGGAGACACACUGUCCAUCUCCAGGGCUAUGAUCACAAUGCACAUUGUGUGCACAGAAUAGCAUUAUGUAGAGGCUCUAAAUGGACACAUUCAAAGAAAUAAUACUAUAUGGUAUGAUGAGUACAACAUCUGAAUCCUAAACAAAGUAUGGAUUCCAUAUAUAAGGAAAUGUAAUUCUAUUUGAAGUCUAUCAGGGCCUGCACUUUUCUUCUUUUUGGCCUGAACACCAAUAGCAGUCCAAAUGUUUCACUGACUCUCUUCUCCCCCAGUGACAGAGAACUUACUUUCCAAAAUACCAUAAGUGAAAGUAUCACUAAUCUCAAAAUUGCUCAAGAAGUGUUCUUUUUACAAAACAAUGUGAAUCCUUAUGUAUAUAGGUCCAUAAACCUGAUAAUAUUUGCCACUGUGUCUUCAGU